AGUGAACGCUGGCGGUAGGCCUAACACAUGCCAGUCGAACGGCAGCACAGUAAGAGCUUGCUCUUACGGGUGGCGAGUGGCGGACGGGUGAGGAAUACAUCGGAAUCUACUUUUUCGUGGGGGAUAACGUAGGGAAACUUACGCUAAUACCGCAUACGACCUACGGGUGAAAGCAGGGGAUCUUCGGACCUUGCGCGAUUGAAUGAGCCGAUGUCGGAUUAGCUAGUUGGCGGAGUAAAGGCCCACCAAGGCGACGAUCCGUAGCUGGUCUGAGAGGAUGAUCAGCCACACUGGAACUGAGACACGGUCCAGACUCCUACGGGAGGCAGCAGUGGGGAAUAUUGGACAAUGGGCGCAAGCCUGAUCCAGCCAUACCGCGUGGGUGAAGAAGGCCUUCGGGUUGUAAAGCCCUUUUGUUGGGAAAGAAAAGCAGCAGGUUAAUACCCCGCUGUUCUGACGGUACCCAAAGAAUAAGCACCGGCUAACUUCGUG
rnacentral:rRNA from 1 species